rnacentral:lncRNA from 1 species
CAGCCAGCGCCUCGUGAACCAGGCCCAUGCGGCACGUGGCAGCGAUGCCUUCCGCGACGCCGCCUCCCGGGACGUGUACUCCAAGCUGCAGGGCUCCCUGGAGGCUCGAGUAAGCAGCCGCAGGCACUUCAGUUCGCGGUAGCUUGGCUUAGCGGACAGCAUGGCGGCAGGGCGGUAGAGCUAUUUUGGGAAGAUGGUUACAAGCUUUGCGGGGGUUGUCGCCACUUGGGAACCACGGAGUUAUGGAUAAGCCGAGGGCGUCGUAGGCUUGGAGUGACUUAGAAAAACAGUAUUGAGAUCGCAUCCCGGCGCGCGUUUUUCCUGAAUUAAAUGAAUGACGUCACAGUAGGUUUGAACUGAUGACCGGUGCAGCCCGCCCACUGGAUUGUUGUACUUCACCGCGCCGUUGUUUUGCCACCUGCGGCUGUACCCUUUCGCGUCUUGUGGUUAUCGAACCUGGUUCCUGAACACACUUCCGCUUGUUUUGCUUGGUUAUGUCGUUCAAGGUGAGGGGUGAGGUCCUAGCCUACUUCUCAGCUAGGUUCAUGCUGUGUGUUUUCGUAUGGCAGCCCAUUUGUGAAGUUAGCAGAAGGAGUGAACGCACCAUACACUUACGGAAAGCACGGGGCACGGACCGUUGGUGUGAGGUUGUUCCUGUGAAUUCGUUGCAGAUGGGGAGGUAGUGGAGGUCCCCUGCCGGUUGAAAUGGGCCACGAUUUCUGUAAAGCCGGAACCGGCCUCUGUACAAACUACAGGUCGGUCCUAUCGGCGAGGUUAGUCCCGAUUAACGAUUGUGGAAACAAGCGGCCUUCCCGUAUGCUGUUAUGGCUUCUGAAGGAUGGAAGUCAUUGACAGGCCCAUUUUUGAGCCAGGGUGUGCCAAGUUCGGCAAUUCCAACGAUGGAAUAUCGGAGAAAGGCCUUACUCCGGACGCGCAUCGUUAUGGUCUAAUGCGAUGCGUUCCUUGGUCAUCCUAGGUAUAAAC